UGUUUCGGCUAGGGGGCCAUCCCGGCUUACCAACCCGAUGCAAACUGCGAAUACCGGAGAAUGUUAUCACGGGAGACACACGGCGGGUGCUAACGUCCGUCGUGAAGAGGGAAACAACCCAGACCGCCAGCUAAGGUCCCAAAGUCAUGGUUAAGUGGGAAACGAUGUGGGAAGGCCCAGACAGCCAGGAUGUUGGCUUAGAAGCAGCCAUCAUUUAAAGAAAGCGUAAUAGCUCACUGGUCGAGUCGGCCUGCGCGGAAGAUGUAACGGGGCUAAACCAUGCACCGAAGCUGCGGCAGCGACACUAUGUGUUGUUGGGUAGGGGAGCGUUCUGUAAGCCUGUGAAGGUGGCCUGUGAGGGUUGCUGGAGGUAUCAGAAGUGCGAAUGCUGACAUAAGUAACGAUAAAGCGGGUGAAAAGCCCGCUCGCCGGAAGACCAAGGGUUCCUGUCCAACGUUAAUCGGGGCAGGGUGAGUCGACCCCUAAGGCGAGGCCGAAAGGCGUAGUCGAUGGGAAACGGGUUAAUAUUCCCGUACUUGGUGUUACUGCGAAGGGGGGACGGAGAAGGCUAUGUUGGCCGGGCGACGGUUGUCCCGGUUUAAGCGUGUAGGUGUGUGUUCCAGGUAAAUCCGGUUCACUUUAACACUGAGGCGUGAUGACGAGGCACUACGGUGCUGAAGCAACAAAUGCCCUGCUUCCAGGAAAAGCCUCUAAGCAUCAGGUAACAUCAAAUCGUACCCCAAACCGACACAGGUGGUCAGGUAGAGAAUACCAAGGCGCUUGAGAGAACUCGGGUGAAGGAACUAGGCAAAAUGGUGCCGUAACUUCGGGAGAAGGCACGCUGACACGUAGGUGAAGUGAUUUACUCAUGGAGCUGAAGUCAGUCGAAGAUACCAGCUGGCUGCAACUGUUUAUUAAAAACACAGCACUGUGCAAACACGAAAGUGGACGUAUACGGUGUGACGCCUGCCCGGUGCCGGAAGGUUAAUUGAUGGGGUCAGCGCAAGCGAAGCUCCUGAUCGAAGCCCCGGUAAACGGCGGCCGUAACUAUAACGGUCCUAAGGUAGCGAAAUUCCUUGUCGGGUAAGUUCCGACCUGCACGAAUGGCGUAAUGAUGGCCAGGCUGUCUCCACCCGAGACUCAGUGAAAUUGAACUCGCUGUGAAGAUGCAGUGUACCCGCGGCAAGACGGAAAGACCCCGUGAACCUUUACUAUAGCUUGACACUGAACAUUGAGCCUUGAUGUGUAGGAUAGGUGGGAGGCUUUGAAGUGUGGACGCCAGUCUGCAUGGAGCCGACCUUGAAAUACCACCCUUUAAUGUUUGAUGUUCUAACGUGGACCCGUAAUCCGGGUUGCGGACAGUGUCUGGUGGGUAGUUUGACUGGGGCGGUCUCCUCCUAAAGAGUAACGGAGGAGCACGAAGGUUGGCUAAUCCUGGUCGGAC
rnacentral:rRNA from 1 species